GUAUCCGCAUCCCAGUGAAAAUGCCCCCCGCACCCCGCCCGGAAAUCGGGAGUUGGUAUCAGGCACACACAUUUGUAGCCCACGACACCUAGCUUUGCCACGCCCUCAAGGGAAUUCAGCAGUGAUAAACAUUAAGCCAUAAGUGAAAACUUGACUUAGUCAUGAUCUAAAGAGUCGGUAAAACUCGUGCCAGCCACCGCGGUUAUACGAGAGACCCAAGUUGUUAGCCAACGGCGUAAAGGGUGGUUAGAGAUAUAAACAACAAACUGAGGCCGAACACCUUCAAGGCUGUUAUACGCUUCCGAAGCAACGAAGAACAAUAACGAAAGUAGCCUCAUCAACUUGAACCCACGAAAGCUAGGAAACAAACUGGGAUUAGAUACCCCACUAUGCCUACCCCUAAACACGAUAUGAACCUACACAUAUAAUCCGCCUGGUUACUACGAGCAUUAGCUUAAAACCCAAAGGACUUGGCGGUGCUUUAAAACCAUCUAGAGGAGCCUGUUUUAGAACCGAUACUCCCCGUUUAACCUCACCCCUCCUUGUUUUAACCGCCUAUAUACCACCGUCGUCAGCCUACCCUGUGAAGGGCAAAUAGUAGACAAGAUUGGCACAGCCAAAAACGUCAGGUCGAGGUGUAGCGUAUGGAGGGGGACAAAAUGGGCUACAUUCUCUGCCUAGAGAACACGAAAGAUGUGCUGAAACGCACACCCGACGGAGGAUUUAGCAGUAAGCAAGAA
rnacentral:rRNA from 1 species